rfam:Brachypodium distachyon strain Bd21 chromosome 2, whole genome shotgun sequence.
GCUAUACUCCCUCCGUCCAACAAAGGAUGUCUCAAGUUUGUCAAAAUUUGGAUUUAUCUAGACAUGAGUUAGUUUAUAGAUGCAUUCAAAUUUAGUCAAAGUUGAGACAUCCUUUGUUGGACGGAGGAAGUAUAUU